UUUCGAGUGUAUUAUUUUGGUAAUAUUACUUUGCUUUGCGCUACCCCAUGGAUUCAUAUUGGCUCAUUAAACUACUUUAUUGAGUUUCUUGGACAUCGUCUCAUCAAAUGAUAUACGACCAAGCUUGCUCCCGACCAAGCACGCUCAGAUUCCUUGGGAGCUCCUGCUAUCGGCAGCCGUCGAUGCAUCAAAUCCCUGAGACGAAGAACAAAAACAGCAUGCCACCUGACUGAUGACCCACCCACUGUCUACCCGGACCCAGGAGCUAGAAGGCCUUGAGAAAAAAGCCCGGGCAGGAUCCUGACGGGCGCAGAAUAUCAUCUUCGAUGCUUGUCCCACGGCCUGACGAAUAAUAUUUAUAUAAUCAAUGGAAGGAAAAAAACAGUAGAACAUUGAAAUUGGCUUGUAGGCAAGACGGAAGAUGGUCAAAACCGGUCAGAAAUUGAUGCCCUAGACACGGUUGGAGAGCUCUUGUUGGCAGAAACCACCUGAAUGGUGAAUGGUGGUGCUGAAUGAUGGUCAGAUGACAUUAGCAACCUUGUGGUGAAACAAUGAACUGGAGCGGCACCGAACUGAAAAAGUUGAAAAACUUGGCAUACAUACUAUGAGACCCAUUUGAUGACUGAUAUAAGCAAAGUUCAGACUGAUUAUUGUGAUAGUUGAUAACUAAGAAUACCUAAUAUGCUUUUAUGGUGUGUGAAAUAGUAUACUUUUUAUAAUUUAUUAAUUAAAAGUUUAAUAAAUGUUUUACUUACCUAAA